rnacentral:rRNA from 1 species
AUUGAACGCUGGCGGCAUGCUUUACACAUGCAAGUCGAACGGUAACAGGCCGCAAGGUGCUGACGAGUGGCGAACGGGUGAGUAAUGCAUCGGAACGUGCCCAGUCGUGGGGGAUAACUACUCGAAAGAGUAGCUAAUACCGCAUACGAUCUAUGGAUGAAAGCGGGGGACCGUAAGGCCUCGCGCGAUUGGAGCGGCCGAUGUCAGAUUAGGUAGUUGGUGGGGUAAAGGCUCAUCAAGCCAACGAUCUGUAGCUGGUCUGAGAGGACAACCAGCCACACUGGGACUGAGACACGGCCCAGACUCCUACGGGAGGCAGCAGUGGGGAAUUUUGGACAAUGGGCGCAAGCCUGACCCAGCAAUGCCGCGUGCAGGAAGAAGGCCUUCGGGUUGUAAACUGCUUUUGUACGGAACGAAACGGCUCUGGUUAAUACCCGGGGCUAAUGACGGUACCGUAAGAAUAAGCACCGGCUAACUACGUG